AAAGAAUCUAAAUUUAUCACUGUUCCUUGUAGGACCUGUUUCAUCACUGAGCAGAAGGGCUGGAGGAGGGAGGAGCAAAGCGGCAAGAAAAUGUCACUGACUGAUGUCAGAGUGGGAGAUGGGCUUCAUGGCAAGGCUCCCUGGCAGUGGAGAAGGUAGGGAGGAGAGCCCUGCUUGCAAACAGACCAGAAAGUUCAGUCUUGAGGUCCCAAUACAUAUUUCAGGAAGGGAAGAUUUGGCCCACCAAGGACCUCUGAAAUAAAAGACAUCAUCUAGAGCUCAAGGACUAUGAACACUGAAGGCAUCCUAGCUUCUCAACUAUCUUCUGGGAUGUUGUCUCAAGAAGACGAAGUGACCAAGGCUUUCCCACGUUCUCUAGAAAGUUACUUAACUUUCAUUUUUCUUUGCAAACUUUUUUCACAUUUUAGGACUGUGUUUCAUUCUGCCAUCAUGAUAACUAAAAAAAAGUCAUUUGCAUUUACAUCAAGUCCUUGCUCUCAAACACAAGCAACAGACCUUAAGAGAAGACAGACACAGGAAGGGAGUAGACUUUACGAAAGCUACCCUGGGAGCCACUGAAUGGGGUGGUGGUGGUGAUGAUGGUGGUUACCACUGCAAAACCAGCAGGUCCUUAAGGCAGACCGUUGAUUAAUAAUAGGCAUUCAGCUCCCACCACUAAUGAUGUGGUACCAAAACAUCAACACUCAUCCUACAAUAUCAAAAUUAGUCAGUGUGAAGUCUUAUUUAAAGAAUGAGUAACCUCAGUAUUAGAAUAAAAAAAAUUUUUGAGUGGUUAUCAAAUUGGAUGAUUUUGCCCCCAGCCCCAGAGCAAUUAUGUCUUAACAUCUUACUGUGGUUUGGAUCUUAAGUUUCCCAAAUUACAUGUUCCCUUAUUUUUAAAACUAUUUCCAUAUACAUGUUAAUUUGU